rnacentral:lncRNA from 1 species
CGCCGGGCAGCGGGAGAGGGACCGGCACCGGCUCCGGCACCGGGCGGGGAUGUCCAUCCCCAUCCCCGGGAUCCUCCGCUCCCCGCCGGCCUGGGAAGGAUGCGGUGACCCGGAGCCGACGGCGACCGCGGGCAGCAGCGGCCCCAGCGGGAUGAGCAGAGCAGAACCCCAGCCUCGCCCUGACCACCCCGAUCCAGCCCCAUCCCUCUCCGGGAACAGGGACGGGAUGGAAGAUCCGGAGCCUUGGGAAGACCCCACAUCCCACAUUUCCUUCAUCCAUGGAAAUCCACGGAUGGAGCAGCCCCGGGAGCUGCCAUGGACUGGAAUUUCCUGCCCUUGGGAGCUGGGAAAGGCUCUUUGGGGUCUGUAGGGGCUGGGCUGCUCCAAUCCCAUCCCUUUGAGAUCACCGGGAUGCCGGCUUCGCUCUCCCGAGGAUCCUCGACACCUCCCCUCUCCUGGAUGGGGUAAGUUUGGGAUUUUUUCUCCUUUUCUCUCCUUUCCUGAAGGCCCAGCCAGCCAGAACUGGGUUUUCCAUGUGGAAUCUCUCCCUGGGCUCUCUCCAGCAGGGAUUUGGGGGGAUCAGGGAAGAGCUGUGAGGCUCCAUCCUGAUCCUUUUCCCGUUGUUACAUCUGGGGGGGGGAAACCACAUUUUUAUCCCCAUUUUUAUCCCCAUUUUUAUCCCCAUUUUAUUUACAUUCCUCUUUGGAAACAUUCCCAUCCCACCCCUCCCUAAGCUGCUGGAAAACCGAGCAGUUUGGGAUCCCAAAACCCAAUUUCCCUUUUCAUUUACUCCCCAAAACUCCCCGCAAUCCCAACCCCAUCCUUAAACCCUCCUAAAAAAACAGAAUUCCCUCCCAUUUCCCCCCACCUGCACCUGCUCCAUCCCAACCCAGCUUUUCCUGGGAUUUAACCACUCCUGGGAGCUGUUUUUGGGGUUCCAGCCUCAUCUCCUGGUGUGGGGAAGGGGGUUGGGAUGAGCAGAACCCUGCAGCAGCCGCAGCCGCAGCUCAUCCCAUCCUUGGGAAUCAGUCAAGGGAGAAAAUCCACAUCCCCUGCGGCCCUCCCUCCUCCAAGUUGGAUUUUUUUUUUUAUUCCACGUGACAGCCGAGCUGUCCAAAACAUUAGGAAAAAUAACUUUCACCUUUCCCGGGGUGAGCCUGGCAGCCAGGAAGGUUUUUUUUCGUUUCAUCCCAAAUACGCAGUGGCGGAGGGGAGGGGGAUGAGGGAAAUGAUCCCGUUUUUUUUCCUCCUCACCCUAAAAAAAUGAGGGAGGGGAUGGGGUUGGAUUUUCCUGGUGGAAAUGUGGGAUCAGCUGUGGGAGAUGGGGAUGGGAUUUUUCUGUUGGUUAUUCCUCAUUUGUCCCCGGGAAU